UCUGGAAUGGGGUUAGGAAAGAACUAGUAGGGUAUUGUGGAGCUACCAGACUUCAAAGGUCAAAGGAAUUGAGAUGGGCUGGGUUACCAUGAGGAUGAAGAUGAGGGCAAACCAAAGGGUAAUACUUUAAAAGGCGUAUUUAUCUAGGAGUACAAGCCUUACUCUAAGGAGCCCAAACAUAUUACAAUAGCUGGGAUGAGGUGUCACGAUUUGAGAUAUUCAAAAACUUGAUCAUCGACAGGUUGGUUGAACUGAGCAUCAAGGUAGUUUAUGUGAAGGUCACCACCAAGGUUAAGGAGCUGAAGCUGGAAAAGUACAUUGCUCUGCUUGAGAAGCUGAUUCAACAAGAGCUAGCUGCCUUGAUAGAGGAGCAUAUUAUUUUAUGAUGAUAUAAUAACGUUUGAUUUUUGUGAGGAU
rnacentral:lncRNA from 1 species